ensembl:lncRNA
AUAAGGACAAAAACUAACUAGAAAGUGCAUUUUCUGAAGAAACUGCAGUGUGAAUGCUUGAAUCUGAAUGUAUGGACUGAAAUGAAUUAAUUGCUGAAUUUUGAGUUAAAAAUUUUGAAUGAGAUAAAAAAACAAAAAAAACAACCUGAAUUUAACCUGAAAACAACAGUGCUGAACUGCUAAAAGCUGAAGGUUACACAGAAGAAGAAGUUGGAAAAAAGCUGAAAAUGUUUUAAUUGUAAAUUAGAAAAACCUAAGAAAUGAGAAAAGAACAUUUAGAGUCAGAAAACAUCUGAAAGAAUAUUAAAAGGUCAUAUUCUUUGAAUCACUGAAUGACUAAAAUGUGAUCCCUCCACUUGGACCCACACAGUUUAAAAAGUUUACAUCUCUGAGCUUUGAAAGACAAGAUGUUGGAAAAAGAACAACGAUGGCGACGUUUUGAGGGUAAAAUGAUGGCUGUAACACUGUGGACACAGCAGCAGUUGAAAGAGAAGUGUUUAAGAUGAAUCUUGGCAGAGUGAGAGAGAGAGCUCGUUAAGCAGGCAGGUGUGAGCCUGGUUGCUAUAGUGACCGCACCCAAUGGCUCCAUACACACGUACACAGACAUGCGCCUCACUUUUGCUGCUUAAAAUGAACAGAAAAGUCAGGCCGAAACAAAUCGUUCCCAAAUGAAAAGUAAAAGUCGUAUUGACAAAAUUCUUUCACCGUGAGCGACAGCAGCUUCUAGUCUACCGAAUUCUCAGUUUUCAUGCCUGUGGAGUUUAUUAUAUGGACGUGGUGACAGUGUAAAGACACCAUGCUCUUCUGAUUUUCAAACGAACCUUCUGAGCCAUUUUAACAUUAGAGUCUAUGGAAGAGUUGGAGGGAGGAGGCUGUGCAUUGGUGACAUUUAUGAAAGAACCAUAACACCUAGUACAAUAGUAAACACAUUGGAUGAAAGAGGACAGCCAUG